UACGUAGGAUGCAAGCGUUGUCCGGAUUUAUUGGGCGUAAAGAGAACGUAGGCGGCCACUUAAGUUUGGUCUUAAAGACUGGGGCUCAACCUCAGGAAUGGAUCGAAUACUGGGUGGCUAGAGGACGUCAGAGGAAGGUGGAAUUCCCAGUGUAGCGGUGAAAUGCGUAGAUAUUGGGAGGAACACCAGUGGCGAAAGCGACCUUCUGGGACGUUCCUGACGCUGAGGUUCGAAAGCUCGGGGAGCAAAC
rnacentral:rRNA from 1 species